rnacentral:rRNA from 1 species
GAUGAACGCUGGCGGCGUGCUUAACACAUGCAAGUCGAACGGUGAAGCUCCAGCUUGCUGGAGUGGAUCAGUGGCGAACGGGUGAGUAACACGUGAGCAACCUGCCCCUGACUCUGGGAUAACAGCCGGAAACGGCUGCUAAUACCGGAUAUGCACCAUGAACGCAUGUUCUGUGGUGGGAAAGAUUUUUCGGUUGGGGAUGGGCUCGCGGCCUAUCAGCUUGUUGGUGAGGUAAUGGCUCACCACGGCGUCGACGGGUAGCCGGCCUGAGAGGGUGACCGGCCACACUGGGACGGAGACAGGGCCCAGACUCCUACGGGAGGCAGCAGUGGGGAAUAUUGCACAAUGGGCGAAAGCCUGAUGCAGCAACGCCGCGUGAGGGAUGACGGCCUUCGGGUUGUAAACCUCUUUUAGCAGGGAAGAAGCGAGAGUGACGGUACCUGCAGAAAAAGCGCCGGCUAACUACGUG